rnacentral:rRNA from 1 species
GACGAACGCUGGCGGCGUGCCUAAUACAUGCAAGUCGAACGCAGUGGGGACGGGUGAGUAACCCGUUGGUAACCUCCCAUCAGAGGGGAUAACACUUGGAAACAGGUGCUAAACCGAUACUGAUGGAUGGACGCGCGGUGCAGUAGCUAGUGGGUGAGGUAACGGCGCACCAAGGCCACGAUGCAUAACCGAGCUGAGAGGGUGAUCGGCCACACUGGAACUGAGACACGGACCAGACUCCUACGGGAGGCAGCAGUAGGGAAUAUUCGGCAAUGGGCGAAAGUCUGACCGAGCAACGCCGCGUGAGUGAAGAAGGUUUUCGGAUCGUAAAGCUCUGUUGUUAGAGAAGCGGUAUCUAACCAGAAAGCAACGGCUAACUACGUGCCAGCAGCCGCGGUAAUAC